rnacentral:rRNA from 1 species
UCCUGGCUCAGGAUGAACGCUAGCUACAGGCUUAACACAUGCAAGUCGAGGGGCAUCAGGACAGCAGCUUGCUGCUGUUGCUGGCGACCGGCGCACGGGUGAGUAACACGUAUCCAACCUGCCUGAAACUCCGGGACAGCCCUCUGAAAGGAGGAUUAAUACCCGGAUGCGGCCCCUUUGGGGGACCAUCCCCUUCGGUCAAAGAUUCAUCGGUUUCGGAUGGGGAUGCGUACGAUUAGGUAGUCGGCGGGGUAACGGCCCACCGAGCCUUCGAUCGUUAGGGUUCUGAGAGGAAGGUCCCCACAUAGGAACUGAGACACGGUCCUAACUCCUACGGGAGGCAGCAGUGAGGAAUAUUGGUCAAUGGUCGAGAGACUGAACCAGCCAAGUAGCGUGAAGGAUGACUGCCCUACGGGUUGUAAACUUCUUUACGGGAGGAUAAAGUGCGGUACGCGUACCGCUUUGCAGGUAUCCCGUGAAUAAGCAUCGGCUAAUUCCGUGCC